GACAGAGGGUGCAAACGUUGUUCGGAAUUACUGGGCGUAAAGCGCGUGUAGGCGGCUCUGCAAGUCGGAUGUGAAAUCCCACGGCUCAACCAUGGAAGUGCAUUCGAAACUGCAGGGCUAGAGUUCUGGAGAGGAAGGUGGAAUGCUUGGUGUAGAGGUGAAAUUCGUAAAUAUCAGCGGAACAACCGGGUGGCGAAGGCGGCCUUCUGGACAGUAACUGACGCUGAGACGCGAAAGCGUGGGGAGCAAACAGG
rnacentral:rRNA from 1 species